UUCGCCACUAGCUGCAUCGCCACGAAGGAGUUCCCGUGCCCUGGGAGCGGAUUCAGGACCGCUGAUCGGAAAUUCUCCAGUACAAGAAGAGGUUCUCGGAGCUGGAGCAGCUGUUGGAGAGAUCCGGAGAGCUGGAGCAGCAGCAGCUGAGGGACACAGAGCACAGCCAAGACCUGGAGAGUGCCCUCAUCUGGCUGGAGGAGGAGCAGCAAGGAGGGCCAGGGCUGGCAGCAUGGCCCCCUGGGCGAGCGCCUACUGAUCCCCUGUGCCCCAUUCAGGAGUGCCAGCCUGGCCCAGGUGAAUGCCAUGCUCUGAGAACAGCUGGACCAGGCAGCUUUGGCCAACCAGGCUCUGAGUGAGGAGAUACGAAAGGUGACCAGUGACUGGACUCGCAGCUGCAAGGAGCUGGAGCAGUGGGAGGCGGCAUGGAGGCGCGAGGAGGAGGUGGGCAUGGGGGUGCAGGGAGGCCAGCAAUAUAAGAGGAAGAUAAUGCACAAUUAUGCUAGUAAGACUCUCUUUUCCAAUAAUGUUUGCUCUUCUCAAUACUACAUUUAAAAAGGAAAUAGUAGCACUUGAACAGUUAAGUAAGAAGAUGAACAAAAUUGAACAGAGGAAAAAUAAGUGUCUGAAGACAUGUUGAAAAUACAUUUAGAGACAGUCUGUCUGAGACAGGAGCUGAGCUGGCCAAUCCAUCUUUUAAAUAAUUGAACAUCAUUCAGGUGUCAAGUAUUUGACCUGGAGCCUGGAAGGGGAGGAGAGAGUCCAAAAAAAAGUCAAAAUAUAAAGAAAAAAAAAUUAAAGAAUUUGUCCCACAAAUCAGGCAACCAAGGUCUAAACUUAUACCCUCUGCCUGGGUAAAUUGUUGUUGCUUCUUUCUGUGACUCUUAAAAGAUGUACAAUAUACCUCAUUUAAUGACUUUGAUUUAUUCAUGAAAACUCUAUCCCCAUGGGAAAAGCUGUUAAAUGAAAAAAGAUUUCUUUUAAGUAGAAAAAUUAUGAAAGGAUUCCUUCCAACCCUCCAUACCCAAAAUUUCUCAAAUGAAUUAUAUAUCUAUCAAUUAUCAAUAUAUAUCAAAAUAUAUCAAUUAAAAAUAUCGGUUAAACAAUACAUCAAUUGAACUAUGAAAGCAAGCUUAUUUAAGUAGCAAAGAAUAACGUGAAGGUUAGUAAGUAUAGCUUAUACUUAAAAUACAAUGAAUUGAAAGCUCAUGGCACUUCAUAUAGUAGGAAGAAGAAACUUAAUAGAAAGUGGUAGCUGAGGGAGAAGGACUGCAAGGGAGUUAUUUGGAAAAUGCAUUUUUUUUAUUUCUGCAUCAUUUUGUUCACAAAUUAUUCUUAAUCUUUUGUGAAUUUGUGGAUCUCUUGAACUCAAACCAGACUUAAAAAUACAGUUAUAGCACAGAAAAAAAUCUUUAAUGGCAAAAUAAAAGCUAAGCAAGAGAGCCUUUCAAAACACAUGAAAACAACACACACAUACAAAAAAAAAAGAAUAAAGAGAUGUACAAGUGACACCUCCUCAACCUUCUCACUUGGUGUACGUAUGCACAGUAAAUUAUUUUGGGCUCAGCCAAGCAUGGGAGCAAUUCAAAUAGAUCCAUAUGAUAUUCUCUGAUUAGAAACUCUUUGGAGUAAGUUGGUGAGUGUAUCUUUGCCUAAAACAGUCAUGUCAAAAUAUAGCUUCCUAUAGCAUAUUUAUUUAGUAUCAUUUUGGUGAAAAAGUGGUUAUACAGAAUAGAAAAGAGUUGUCCAAAACUAAGUGGUUGACCUUUCCAGAGCCAUUCCCUGCAGAAUUGUUAUGUAAGUCUGUUCCAUACUCAUAAAGGAAUACUCAGCUGACCCAACUGAUUUUCUCGUGUUUUUUCCUUCAAGGGCUAGUAGAAGUCUAUAUGUUGUGGUGGGAAACAACCUCAGCCCUAUAGUCCAACAUUUGCCUAUCAAAACUUGUCCUAUGAUUUACAAAACUAGAACCUCACUGGUAAGUCACAUUCCCAGAGUCUCCCCCAUCCCUAACCCCAGUCACGGAAAGUAAAUCAAAUCAUUGUCACUCUUUCUUAACAAAGAGUAUACAUUUACAACUUGAGUAAAAUUACAGGUACCGUCUGGGGCCUUCAAGGGGGAACUUGAAGUCUCAAUACCGCAGUUGUCCAAUCAGAGGAUCCAAGAUGAAUAUACUCAAGGACUUUAUGCUUGGCAUCCUCUGGAGACAGUACAUAACCACCAGCUUGGUUUAACUGGAGAUUCAUUUGGGUUAGGAGAAAUUAUGUAGGCAAUGUACUUAGUCAAUGGAGGCCUUAUGCCUGAAGACUUACAAGAAUCUGAAUUCGUACGUUACUUUUCCUUUAAUGGAGUGGAAUUCCAAAUGAAAAUAAUCAAACAGCAUGUGCAUAAACAUUAGAUAUAAUACCCACAUUU